CCACUGUCGUCUGCUUAGUCUGUCAUUCCCAUUCCCGCCUGCCUUUUUCGGUUGACGGCGUUGGAUUGUAUCGUAAAUGACUUAACUGCUUUGAUCUUCUUGUUAGCAAGGGCCAAUAGAAAAUGCAUCACAUGCCCACUUCUCUGUAUGCAAAUAUUUCAAAACCGGACAUUGAACCUGCUUAACUCGACAAUGAAUGCUGCAUACCUUCACUUUUAGUCAAUCUCAAAAGAUUUGAAAGUCACCUUCAAAAUUUAUACUCAUCCUCCUUGAACUAAAUGAUGAUCGACAAGCAAUGUGAGGCAGCAGACAGACCAGAACCAGGCCACAACUUCUGCACACAUAAGUGCGACGACAUUUAAGUAUUACAUUGACGUGGAAUGACUUUACCUCCCGUUCCAUUCCGUUCCGACAAUCGGUUUGAAUCAACGAUCAAAUCGCUACCGCUAAUUCCGGUUUUAUUUUCUCUACAUUUUUUUCCCUCUUAAUUCUAUUCUAACCGUAUCUGUGAGUGAGGCUAUUGUUAAGUAUUCAGUGCAUGAGAAGAUGCACACAAUCAUGGAUAGUUGAGUUUGUUAAAUGGAACCCUUGACACAAGAAAUUAAAUUUUUCAACUAGUACCAAAAAGCUCUAAAUAUUUAUUAGAUCAAAUUGAAAAUUUUAUUUUGUUCAAGAGCCACCUUAUUCACCACAAAAUUUUUUUAUUUUUAAUCUGAGUGGCUCACAGUUUUCUGCGUUUUUGUAAGUUAAAAGUAAUUCAAUUGUGAUUUUUUGGGUUUUGAACAAAAACUAUAAUAUUCCACAAUUUGUUUAUGUGCUUAAGUAACUUUUCAGUAAACCUGGCGCAACAGCUCACAUAUCUCUUCCAAGACCAACCUGCUUACUCACUCCAGCCAUAUGGAGAUCCAGCAAAGAAAACUUCCACUCCUCAGCCGAUUUUUCCGGUGUCGUACCAAAUAAGAUCGCUGUUCACCAUUCGGCAUUUGAAGCCACUGUUCCAUUCAUUCUGCUGGGCAGCGUCAUGGUUCCAUGAUCGCUGAAAAAGGCUGCGUUUACGGCGAUGGUUUGUCCACGUCCAGUUUUAGCGAUGAACACAAACAAUAAGGGUUUUCCAUUCAGGGUUCAACAGCUCUCAUACCGGUAGCAGUAGUCAACUCGAGUACAACGGCUUAAAAGAUUGUCCCACGUCUUAUGCUAGACCAUUAGCUACAGCUUGAUUAUCGCAACACUAGAUGACACUGAUGGGUGCCAACACAGCUUAGUUUCAUCCUGCUUGUAACGAGUUUGAGCUGCUUUCUACUUUCAACACAAUGUACGAUGAUGAUUUCUCAUGUCAUCGUCGGAAAAAACGUAAAAGAAGAUCGGGAGCCACUCCAGCAAUUAACGAGAACGACGUAAGCCGAGUAAGGAUUCUCCGUAAGCAGCGCACCGCAAAGGAGUUUACAACUGAAUAAAAACAACAAUCGUUCUGAAUAAGGAUAAAAAAAGAUCUGCGAACGGCAUUUGAGAACAUAACUACAACUGACCAAACAGAAGAGGAAGAAAUGGAGUUUCUGAACGUAAUGGGGGAUCUAAAUGAUUGGAUUUUUAAUUGCGUACGGAAUCUUUGCAUGCAAUACACUCGUAGGGAGCUUCACUAGUGUCCCGCCAACGAUGUUCCUUGUGUAGUGUGAUAGAUGGCAGAGUAAUGAUUAAGUUAUAAAAUUAUCACAG